rnacentral:rRNA from 1 species
AUUGAACGCUGGCGGAAUGCUUUACACAUGCAAGUCGAACGGCAGCACGGACUUCGGUCUGGUGGCGAGUGGCGAACGGGUGAGUAAUACAUCGGAACGUGCCCAGUCGUGGGGGAUAACGUAGCGAAAGCUACGCUAAUACCGCAUACGAACUAAGGAUGAAAGCGGGGGAUCGCAAGACCUCGCGCGAUUGGAGCGGCCGAUGGCAGAUUAGGUAGUUGGUGGGGUAAAGGCUCACCAAGCGGACGAUCUGUAGCUGGUAUGAAAGGACGACCAGCCAGACUGGGACUGAGACACGGAGCAGAAUCCUACAGGAGGCAGCAGUGGGGAAUUUUGGACAAUGGGCGAAAGACUGAUCCAGCCAUUCCGCGUGCAGGAUGAAGGCCCUCGGGUUGUAAACUGCUUUUGUACGGAACGAAAAGGCUCUGGUUAAUACCUGGGGCUCAUGACGGUACCGUAAGAAUAAGCACCGGCUAACUACGUGCCAGCCGCCGCAGUAA